rnacentral:rRNA from 1 species
UGGCUCAGGAUGAACGCUGGCGGCGUGCCUAAUACAUGCAAGUUGAGCGCUGAAGGUUGGUACUUGUACCGACUGGAUGAGCAGCGAACGGGUGAGUAACGCGUGGGGAAUCUGCCUUUGAGCGGGGGACAACAUUUGGAAACGAAUGCUAAUACCGCAUAAAAACUUUAAACACAAGUUUUAAGUUUGAAAGAUGCAAUUGCAUCACUCAAAGAUGAUCCCGCGUUGUAUUAGCUAGUUGGUGAGGUAAAGGCUCACCAAGGCGAUGAUACAUAGCCGACCUGAGAGGGUGAUCGGCCACAUUGGGACUGAGACACGGCCCAAACUCCUACGGGAGGCAGCAGUGGGGAAUA